rnacentral:rRNA from 1 species
CCUACGGGAGGCAGCAGUGAGGAAUAUUGGUCAAUGGACGAGAGUCUGAACCAGCCAUGCCGCGUGCAGGAAGACGGCUCUAUGAGUUGUAAACUGCUUUUGUACGAGGGUAAACGCAUAUACGCGUAUCUGUCUGAAAGUAUCGUACGAAUAAGGAUCGGCUAACUCCGUGCCAGCAGCCGCGGUAAUACGGAGGAUUCAAGCGUUAUCCGGAUUUAUUGGGUUUAAAGGGUGCGUAGGCGGUCGGAUAAGUUAGAGGUGAAAUUCCGAGGCUCAACUGUGGAAUUGCAUCUGAUACUGUUCGGCUAGAGAGUAGUUGCGGUAGGCGGAAUGUAUGGUGUAGCGGUGAAAUGCUUAGAGAUCAUACAGAACACCGAUUGCGAAGGCAGCUUACCAAGCUACUUCUGACGUUGAGGCACGAAAGCGUGGGGAGCAAACAGGAUUAGAUACCCGAGUAGUC